UGUGUGUGUGUGUGUGUGUGUGUGUGCAAACAGAAGCCCACGUUGGACAAUCGGGUAGGAGCAAACAGGAUGUGAUGAUCAAUCAGCCUGUGACUGAUUGAUCCAACAGCUCGGUGAGCUGUUGGAGGAGAGCCACGUUCUCUCUUCUCCACACACCCACGGCUGGGUUAUUACCUCCCAUCUUCCUCUGCGGGCUGGGAUGAGGUGCAACAUUUCACUACAUCUCACAAACAGAUCGAAACAAGAUGAGGCAGACCCACCACCACCACCACCACCACCACAACAAAAAAGGGCCAGAUAGACAUUACAACCGGCCUCCCAAACAGUGGCAGCUGAAGGUCUGCGUGGCGUGGCUUCUGUCCGUGGUGCUGAACGCUUUCCCUGCGUGUUUCAGAGCAGAGCAGGCAGACAGUGGGCCUGUCACCGGAUUAAAAGGGAACAACAGUGGAGGAAAACAGAGCUGCUUUCACCGAAACAGCUUAACAUCGCGGGGGUUGGCGACCGGGUUCACACCGUAAGUUUCUCAUACAUUUACCGACCCACGUCACGCAGACGAAGCUCGAGCCCUCACCACGUACACAAUAACGGUCGUUUUGACUGAAACCGAAGACUUUGUAGCUCCAUAAUGAGGGGAAGUGCGGUUAAAUCAGUUUGACCGUGUGCAGACCCGAUGCCCUUACUGACCGCAUUAAGCGCAUCAGCGGAUUGAGGGACGGGGGGGUCUGUUUGGAUUUAUUUUUAUAGAUAAGUGACAAAAUACAGUCUCGUUCCUGAGCAAAGAGGAAAAGGAAACAUAGCGCUGCUCGUCUUACCUCUGUCGCCAUGUUGCCAUCCGUGAACGUGGGGAAGAAUCCCUUCAGGAGCUGAAAUCGCUUUAGUGGGACGCGGAGGAUCGAUGGGCGGGGCUUAGCGUGGGGGCGGGGCUAACUGUAAUGGGGCGGAGUCCGCGUUGAAACAGUUGAAAAGGGUGUGGCUGGUUAUAGAACAGCUUCUCACAGGAUUUCUGCUAUUUUUAUCAUUUCAAAAUAGGAAUUUCCAAAUUUUAUGGUCAAUUUUGGGGCUCUUUUUUUUUAAAAAGGUUCAUAGCUAUGUAUACAAUUUUCUAGUGAUGCUUUGAUUUUGAUGUUCCUGGUCAAUUCAGAUUCUGAAUCAUGUUCACUGGUAGGGGUGAAAUGUGGAAGACAGUUUUAAAAUAUGCAUAUUUUAGAUGCAUCUUUUCCAGAACACUCAACUCAAACAAUUACAUCCUCUGCAUGCCAUCAAGUAUUGCAAAAGCCUUGAAAUCAUCAACUUGCGUAUGGCGCAAGGGAAACACCUAGGGCAGUGAUCCAUAGGGACUGGAAUUGGGAAACACUGCUCUCACAAGAACAUUUUAAUCUGAACCAUCCUGAUGGAUGCAGAUAAGAAGAUCCCACCGGUUUUCUAAGCAGCACAGGGAGGAGAUUGCACCAUGCCCCGAGAGCUUUUUGUCUUAUGAAUUUACAAAUUAAUGAAAGGUGAGGUUGUUUUUGGUGCAUCGAACUGGUCCUGGCUAUGAGGAAAUGCCGUCAUAAACAUCCCACUAGACCAGACUAAGGUCCCUGGUCUAUGUGGUGAUGACUGGAUCUUCACAGGUCACACAUGAGGGUCAAAACAUUGGACAGACAGGUAAACAGGGUUGCUGCAGGUUUCACCAACUCAAAUUUAAAGCUUUUUUUAAGAUCAUUAUGAAUUAAAUUUAAGACCAUUGUCAUUAUGGAAAAGUACAGAAGAAAAUUUAAUAUUUUUAUCCAAGCCUUGUUGCACAGAUACAGUAUAGUAAUAUUGUAGGGGUUGGCAACGGAAGUGAGCCAGAGGCGAAGGCCAACAUUUCCUAGCCAGCUGGCAAUAAACUUACCCUCAUGAUAGACGCAAAGGAGCUAGCUAGCUACUUAGCGGUAGCCACAACCGCUCAAGUCACAGAACAGAAUGUCUGAGAGAAUUUAACAUAUCUUAAGGCCUUAUUUUUUAGAUACGUGAAGUUAAGACUUUAAGGAUGCAGACACCCUGAUAAAGAGAGCUUUUCUUUUAGGCUACGGUCUUCUUUCACCAUGACAGAUGUUGCAACAGAUGACCCCAUCCGUCCACAACAGAAACUGAACCUAGACGUAAUUUAACAUCAAACUAGUCAUUUCAACAAUUAAAGACAUGGGACCUACUUUAUGACAUAACAAAAGUGUUUAUAGAAGCAGGAAUAUUUAAUGAACCAUAAGCAUUUACACCACUGCUUAGUACUGACAUUAUAGCUCAGUUAAAAGACAAACUGCCUUUAAAGAUGGAACCCAAACUUUCCAGUUAUGUAAAAAUACAACCUGCCUAGAACUAAAAAGAGAAAAUGAUUAUAUGUGCAUACUGCUUUUAAGGGAAAAAAAGAACUCAGAAUGAUAAAAACCAAAAUAAAAUUUAAUUCUUGUGCUAAAAACUGGGAGGAAUGUUAUAAGAAAUUCAACAUCCAGUAUUAAGCUGCGGUCACAACUGUUUUUGAAUCAAUGUUAACAUUUUAAUGAUGAAGAAGAAGAAAAA